CUCGGCAUUUCGCGCAUCUGAAAUCGGGCGACCCGGCCAAAGACAAGAACCUGUUGCUGACCACGAUCCUCGCCGACGCGAUCAACCUGGGCCUGACCAAGAUGGCGGAGUCUUGCCCCGGCACGACCUACGCCAAGCUGGCUUGGCUGCAAGCCUGGCACAUCCGCGACGAAACCUACGGGGCGGCGCUGGCCGAUCUGGUCAACGCACAGUUCCGCCAUCCCUUCGCCGAGCACUGGGGCGACGGCACCACCUCAUCGUCGGACGGCCAGAACUUCCGCACCGGCAGCAAGGCCGAGAGCACCGGCCACAUCAACCCGAAAUACGGGAGCAGCCCAGGGCGGACGUUCUACACCCACAUUUCUGACCAGUACGCGCCAUUUCACACCAAGGUCGUGAAC
rnacentral:rRNA from 1 species